GACGAACGCUGGCGGCGUGCUUAACACAUGCAAGUCGAACGGAAAGGCCCUGCUUUUGUGGGGGGCUCGAGUGGCGAACGGGUGAGGAACACGUGAGUAACCUACCCUUGACUUUGGUAUAACUUCAGGAAACUGGGGCUAAUAUCGGAUAGGAGCUCCUGCUGCAUGGUGGGGGUGGGUAAGGUUCGGCGGUUGGGGAUGGACGCGCGGCUUGUCAGGUUGUUGGUGGGGUGGUGGCUUACCAAGGCUUUGACGGGUAGCCGGCCUGAGGGGGUGACCGGCACCAUUGGGACUGAGAUACGGCCCAGCAUCCUACGGGAGGGAGCAGUGGGGAAUAGUGCACAAUGGGCGGAAGGCUGAUGCAGCAACGCCGCGUGCGGGAUGACGGCCUUCGGGUUGUAAACCGCUUUCGCCUGUGACGAAGCGUGAGUGACGGUAAUGGGUAAAGAAGCACCGGCUAACUACGUG
rnacentral:rRNA from 1 species